UGGCCCUGUCCCAUGGCUGCUGGCCCCAUCCUACAGGUGCUGGCCCCGUCCCAUGGGUGCUGGCCCUGUCCCAUGGCUGCUGGCCCCAUCCUACAGGUGCUGGCCCCGUCCCAUGGGUGCUGGCCCCGUCCCAUGGGUGCUGGCCCCGUCCCAUGGGUGCUGGCCCCGUCCCAUGGGUGCUGGCCCUGUCCCAUGGGUGCUGGCCCCACCAAGGCUGUUGGGGCUCUUACCAAGGCACUGGCAGCCGAAUGCUUGGAGUCCUUGAAGAAGCUCCAUCCCCAUCUCCAUCUCAUCUCCAUUUGCAUCCUCAUCAUCCCUGCGCCUCGCUGGGUACUCACCCUCUGCUCCAUGGGACCGUACCGCAUCACCCCAGGGUACAGAUCGUGGGAGCUGCCUCGAUCUCCUGUGGGUGGGGGUUCCCACGACGUCUCACCUGUUACUGAAUUAUAGAAAAAAACCUGUCCGCUGGCUUCGUCCAUGUACUGUUCCCACUCGGGAAGCUCCGGGCUGUGGGUGAGUGAGGAGGCGGGAGAGGCGACGGGACUCACUCCAUCUUCUGCCUGCCCAAAGGGACAAUCCCACGUGGUCUCGCCCGUCACUGGGUUAUAAUAAAACAAAUGUCCACUGUC